rnacentral:lncRNA from 1 species
AAUGCGUUCACUCGGCGCAAACAUGGCUGCGGCCCUGCGCGCCGCGGGCGUCCUGCUCCGCGAUCCGCUGGCAUCCAGCAGCUGGAGGGUCUGUCAGCCAUGGAGGUGGAAGUCAGGUGCAGCUGCAGCGGCCGUCACCACAGAAACAGCCCAGCAUGCCCAGGGUGCAAAACCUCAAGUUCAACCGCAGAAGAGGAAGCCGAAAACUGGAAUAUUAAUGCUAAACAUGGGAGGCCCUGAAACUCUUGGAGAUGUUCACGACUUCCUUCUGAGACUCUUCUUGGACCGAGACCUCAUGACACUUCCUAUUCAGAAGUGAGAUAUAUAUAAACACCUCAAUUAUAACCUUGGCACUACAUUGACAUGUGUCUCUCAAUUCUGUAGUUUCAAACCAGUAAAUAGUUUUAAUGCGUAUCUGGUAAUGGUUAAACAGCAGCAUUGUUUUCUGUUGGAUAUCAGAAGGAUAUGAUAUCAGAAAAUUGCAGGGGGAGAGAGCAAAUAAGUUAGUGGGGAUUCUCCUUGAGCCCUUUGCUCCCCAGAGCCCUGGAAAUUGCAG